ensembl:lncRNA novel transcript
AUCACACACCGGGACCUGUCAUGGGUUGACACUGCAACUUGCUUUGACCAAUAGCAUGGACAGAAAUGAGACCUACCAACUUUAUAUUGCUCUCUUCGAGGUCUGUGCCACCACGUAAGAAGUAUAACUAUGCUGCUUCUAGUGAAGUUGAGCCUCACCCAGAUGUCUCAGCUACCAUAACUAAGGCACUA